rnacentral:rRNA from 1 species
CGAGGAUCCAAGCGUUAUCCGGAAUCAUUGGGUUUAAAGGGUCCGUAGGCGGGUUUAUAAGUCAGUGGUGAAAGCCCAUCGCUCAACGAUGGAACGGCCAUUGAUACUGUAGAUCUUGAAUUAUUAGGAAGUAACUAGAAUAUGUAGUGUAGCGGUGAAAUGCUUAGAGAUUACAUGGAAUACCAAUUGCGAAGGCAGGUUACUACUAAUGGAUUGACGCUGAUGGACGAAAGCGUGGGUAGCGAACAGGAUUAGAUACCCUGGUAGUCCACGCCGUAAACGAUGGAUACUAGCUGUUCGGAGCGAAUCUGAGUGGCUAAGCGAAAGUGAUAAGUAUCCCACCUGGGGAGUACGUUCGCAAGAAUG